UACGGGGGGGGCAAGCGUUGUUCGGAAUUACUGGGCGUAAAGGGCUCGUAGGCGGCCAACUAAGUCGGACGUGAAAUCCCUCGGCUUAACCGGGGAACUGCGUCCGAUACUGGAUGGCUUGAGUUCGGGAGAGGGAUGCGGAAUUCCGGGUGUAGCGGUGAAAUGCGUAGAUAUCUGGAGGAACACCGGUGGCGAAGGCGGCAUCCUGGACCGACACUGACGCUGAGGAGCGAAAGCCAGGGGAGCAAACGGG
rnacentral:rRNA from 1 species